rnacentral:rRNA from 1 species
UACGAAGGAUCCAAGCGUUAUCCGGAUUUAUUGGGUUUAAAGGGUGCGUAGGCGGAUUGAUAAGUCAAUGGUGAAAGCCCGCAGCUUACCUGCGGAAUUGCCGUUGAUACUGUCAGUCUUGAGUACAGUUGAGGUGGGCGGAAUGUGUCAUGUAGCGGUGAAAUGCUUAGAUAUGACACAGAACUCCGAUUGCGAAGGCAGCUCGCUACACUGUAACUGACGCUGAGGCACGAAAGCGUGGGUAUCAAACAGG